rnacentral:rRNA from 1 species
GACAGAGGGUGCAAACGUUGCUCGGAAUUACUGGGCGUAAAGGGCGCGUAGGCGGCGUGUCAAGUCAGGCGUGAAAGCCCCGGGCUCAACCUGGGAACCGCGCUUGAGACUGGCAUGCUCGAGUUCGGGAGAGGAUGGUGGAAUUCCCAGUGUAGAGGUGAAAUUCGUAGAUAUUGGGAAGAACACCGAUGGCGAAGGCCAGCCAUCUGGACCGACACUGACGCUGAGGCGCGGAAAGCGUGGGGAGCAAACAGG